GUCCCUCAGGCUGGAGUGCAGCGGCGCCAUCUCAGCUGAAUGCAACCUCUGCCUCCUGGGUUCAAGAGAUUCUCCUGCCUCAGCCUCCCAAGUAGCUGGGAUUACAGGUGCGUGCCACCACGCCUGGCUAAUUUUUUGUAUUUUUAGUAGAGACAGGGUUUCACCGUGUUAGCCAGGAUGACCUUGAUCUUCUGACCUCGUGAUCCUCCCACCUCAGCCUCCCAAAGUGCUGGGAUUACAGGCGUGAGCCACAGCGCCCGGCCUUCAGCGUGCUUUUUUUUUUAAUGGUUUGCUAUAUUUACAUCUGGUUUCUCCUUCUGAAUGGUGCUGUUAAUUUUCUUGUGGAGAAGGAACUGUCUUUAGAAAAAUAUCUCAAAAAGCCACUGAAGUAGAAAGUUUCAGCAUGCUGAAGAUGGAACUUGAGAAGAUAGAAAGUUCUGGGUCCUUAGUGGCAUGACUGAGUCGCUGGACCACUGUUGGAACCACCCUAUGUCUUAGUUUUUAAAUCUCUUUACUGUCUAAGACAUUUUUAGUGGAAGUAUUUAUCUCUGGCAUCCAAUAAGACCUUUAAGGAUUUGCAGUUUUAUCUAUGUGUUUGUUUAUUGUCUGCUCCACCCUACUUGAUUGUGAUCACCAUGACAUCAAUGACUGUGCAUCUUUUGUUCACUCAGGAAUAUCCAGUGCCUGCCACGCAGAGUGUGCUGCAUGUACAUGCUCACUUGAUAUCUGUUGUAGCAAAGAGUGAAAGAGAGAAGGAAUAAAUGCUUUCUCCCAUGAUGAGGGGACAUGGGGUCCAGACAAGCUGGACCAUUAUCCCAGGCCCAGCGCUCUGCUUUAUUUUUUUUUUUCCAGUACAGCAUCACAUUCAGUUACAACAGAGUGAAAUCUCCUAAGAACACGGCUGAUUAUUUCUUGAUUGCAAAAAGGACUCACUAACCCUCCGAUCUCCUGUAACGCAAGUCAAUGCUCUUCUAAUCUCCUUUUAGACAGCACCUGUACUUGUCAGUCAACGCAUGGUAGUCUGGGCUAGCCAAGUGAAUCCUUAACUAAACUGAAGUGGUGCUGAUCAUUCAGCCUUCAGAAUUGAAAAAAUCACAGCAUUGCUGAAGGAAAAGGCAUUUUUCAGGUAGAGAGGCAUAAGUCUUGGGCCAGGAAGCUUCAGUAAGAAGACAAUAAUUUCAUAGAAAUGCAUUAGCUUGGGGAGUCCAACUGCUGUUCUUGCACCUAAGAAAUUCAGAGGAGAGCUCUUUGCUUCCUUGCUCAUUCCAGUGGUUAGGAGUCAGGCCUUGUCCCAGAAUGUUCAGGUUGAUGCUUACCAUUUAAGCCUUAAGUUAAUCCGUUGAAGCUCCAGGCCUUUUAUGGGAUUCACAAGAAUAAACAGCAUUUAACUAUAGAUUCUCAAAGGUCAAAUCUUCAACCUAAAUCUGAGGAUUCAAAGCAUUGUUCACUCUAAUAAUUCUGCUAGUUCCCAACUUCACACAAACCAUUUAUUUCAGAAUGUAAACCUUGAAUAAUCUUUUCUUACUUGUAGUUUUGUGGUCAUUUAGAAAACAGCAAUACUCUAUUUUAAUUGGAACUAAGUGACAAAAAUAAGCCACUUCAUUAGUUUUCUAGAUAACGGUAAAAUGUAAGAACAAAAAGCCACUUCUUUUUCCACGUGGUAUUUUACAGUGACUUUUUUUUUUCUUUUUACUGCAUUUUAAAAUUCUACUGGAGGCAUUUCUCGGAAACUUUCUCUUACUUGUUAAUGAAUCAUCCCCUUUGAGAAUCAGCAGGUGAUUUCAGGAGCCCAGGUGUGAAUAAUUGAUUUAAGGUCGACCUUGUGGGUGGAGCCAAUGUUUACCAAGUGCAUUCAUUCGACAAACAAUUGAUGAACACCAAAUUAGAGUUCAAUUCCAGAUAACAAAAACCAGUUGAACUAAUUUCAUCAGAAAGCUACUUAAUAGGGGUAAUUAGGUGCUUACAAAAUAGAAGGGCUGGAAGCCCAGGAUCUAGGCUGACACCCAUGUAGCUAGACCCUGGAAACUGGGAUUCCAGCUGCACAGAACAGCCAAGUGUGUUCAUGACUGUGCUUGUUUGUCAGCAGGAGCAUGGCCCUGCCUUGUGAUACUGUGUUUUUCAGCUCUCACGUGGCUGAGUCUGUUUGGAGAAGUUGGUUCAAGAUGCAGCUUGACUCUCAGGGAGUCUGAAUAACUACCCUUAAUAUUGUUAGCUUUCUGGUCUCCAGCACACAGUAUGAUUUUCUGGAAGAAGGAUUUAAUGUAGUUAAAUAUGCCAACGUGUAAUAUCUGAUGUACAUUUCUACCCUGCUUGGGAUACAAAAUAAAUAAAAGCCAGUUUCUGUCUGUAAGGAGUGUACAGUUUAGUAAGAAGACAGACUCCUGAACAAAGAUGUAUACUUCAAUGUUGCCAGCCCAGGAUUAGAGAUGGGUAUUAAGAGGACCUCUGAUGAGUGAUAUUUUGCAUCUGGUGCAGGACAGUUCCCUAGGUGGCCUUGGACCAAACCAGUCCUCCCGCUUUCUCACUUGUAGUUUUAAGAAUAACUAGAAUGUGCUGGGAAUGCAACAUCCCGAGAUAAGGCCUAGGCUCUGUUCCAGUCCCCGCUAGAAACAGGAUGUCCUUCAGCACAUUAAUCCAGCAGGUCAUGUUAUCCCUGGAGUAGAAAACCCAGAGACGGCUACUUUCCAGGGUCCUGCAUCUGGGGUGCAAGUGAGGCACACGCAGAUGAGACUCCACCUGCCCUGGGCAGCUUUCCUGAGCCUUGAGAAACCAGCUCACCAUGAAUCCAAGGUGUCUGCUGUUCCUUGCCACCAUUUCAUGGAACCUGUUGUAUGUGUAUUUCCAGCUCUGAAAAGCCUGUUUUACUUCAUUCUCUUACCAAAGAGUUUGGUGACACAAAAUGAAAAGUUUGAUGGACAAUCUGGAAGAGUCCCACUAAGCAACACAAGAAAUACGCUCUCACAAAGACCUAUUCAUGUUUUCCAUGUUUCAAAUAUGACUGAACCUGACAUAUAUAAGAACGCAAAAGAUUCUUCAAAAUCAAACUGUGUCCGGAAUUGGUGGGUUCUUGGUCUCACUGACUUCAAGAAUGAAGCCACGGACCCUGGCGGUGAGUGUUACAGCUCUUAAGGUGGCGUUUCUGGAGUCUGUCCCUUCUGAUGUUCAGAUGUGUUCGGAGUUUCUUCCUUCUGGUGGGUUCGUGGUCUCGCUGGCUCAGGAGUGAAGCUGCAGAUCUUCACGGUUGCUAGUAACACAAUAAUAAAGCUGCUUUAUUUUCCAGUGAAGAUGUAUGUGAUAGGGAGUGGAGGAAGAAAAAGGCCAGAAAAUUCCAUAGUUAGCAAAUAUACCUUUCUUACUUAAAAUUCUUUUUCCAAUGUGAGCCUUCUAAAGAGUUACUGAGAAAUUAGGUGAGCUCACCUCAUUUAAUGCAAUAGAUAUGUUUCUGAAAAAUAAGCAAUACAUAGGACAUUGGCCAAUUAAGAAUUCUGAUGAAGAAGAAUUUUCACAUCCGAAAGAGUAAAAAUGAAAAACGGUACAAAUGUAGUGGCUUUUAAAUUUCAAAACAAAUUAUUUUGAUAAGAUAAAUAUUCCUCUCAUAAAGUGAAAAUGGAAGAGACUGCUUGCUGGGUGUUCGUCAAAAUGGAGUUAGAUGGUCUGUCCCAGACUCCCCUGUUGUUAGUUCUGAGAACAGAAGUAAUGGUGCUUCUUCAGGACUGGCUCAUAGAAACCUGCCGUGUUCAGCCCCCACAAUCCUCUCCCUUCUGCUGGCUGGAAACAAAUGACAACGAAGCCUCACGUCUUGGAGAAACCACACUGCUGAGGAACUCAAGUCCUAGAAGAACCAUUUGAAGAGACCCAUCUCACUAAAGAAAAUCACACAAGCAAGAAGUAAACUUCAUUGUAUCUAUGUAUUUAAUUGUCAUAACAGUCUACCUUAACUGAUACAGCAAAAAUUCGCUCCUUUUCUGGACACCCAGUUUCAAAAUCUCAGUGUCAUUUUUUACUUCUCUCUUUUCAGGUUGUUUAAUAUAAUAAAAUUUGUGUGUGUGUGUGUGUGUGUGUGACAAGGUCUUGCUCUGUUGCCCAGGCUGGAGUGCAAUGGCACGCUCCCAGCCCACUACAGCCUUGACCUCCAAGCUCAAGUGUUCCUCCCACCUCAGCCUCCAGAGUAACUGGGACUACAGGCAUGGGCCACCACACCCGGCUAAUUUUUGUACUUUUUGUAGAGACAGGGUUUCACCAUGUUGCCCAGGCUGGUCUUGAACCCCUGGGCUCAAGCGAUCUGCCCAUCUCCACCUCCCAAAAUUCUAGGAUUACAGGCGUGAGCCACUACACCCAACCAUUUUAUUUUUAAAAGUUUUCUUUGCAAUAUUGCUCACAUUGUUUCCUUCCUUUUUAUUCUUAUUGUCACUCCCAAGUUCAGGCUUUUACCUCUUUUAUUUGAAGUAUUAAAGUAUACUUCUAAGUCAUUUCUGUGGCUUAAAUUUAUUUAAUCCACUCCAUCCUGCAUCCUACCAACACAAUAACAUUGUUUCAUCAUUUCAAAUUGAAAUCGAAACUCUCCAAAGCUUUCCUACUGCUGAAUGGAUAAAAACACAAAAUCCUCAAUAGAGAAUUCACUUUCUGGAGCCAACUUACCUUUCCAAAUAUUUCCCAUUAUUCCCUAAGAGAAUCCUCCUGACAUACUCACUGUUUUUCAUAUACACUAGACCUUUUCUCAACCACCUAUUUGUCCACACAUUUUUCUUCCAGCUAGAAUAUUAUUUUCCCUUUCUCACUUCUGAAAGUCUUACCUGUCAUUCAUGGUUCAUCUCAAGCUCAAUCUUCUCCUUGAAACCUUUAAGCAUACCCUCCUGGAAAGUUAUCUCCCUCACCUCGAACCACCCCCCCAGCCCCUGCCAGAAUCUCCUAUAGGGCUGAUUGUUUAUCCUGCUUAUUAUAUAUUUAUAAAACACUCCACUGAGUUAUUAAUUACCUUUUCCUUGACUGUGAAAACAUGACUCUGGCUUCAAGGUAGGACCAUUUUUUCUCUAACACUGUGUCUCAUACACUUCAGCACAAGCUCUUAGUGGCCUGUGCAUUCAACUCCCAUGCAUAGCCACUUCCUCCAGGCAAACCCCACAGCCAGCAUCCAAAUUUUAAAAGGGGUUCUGUCAUCAACCCAAAGUUUCUUCUCUCUCAAGGAACCUAGAUUUAGAAGUUGAGUCUAGGCCACCUGUCUAAGAUACAGUAGUUAAUUUAACAUAUUUUAUUGCUCUCAACAUCACAGAGAAAGAGCCUUACUGCAGAUCUCAUUCUUUCCUUCAAAGCCAGUUUGCCCAUUCCUCUUCAGAAACCUUUAAGAGUGGUUAUUGGGAGAGAUGAUAAGACUCCAUCUGCUUAAGGAGUCCCUCUAACCCAGAAUAGUAGAUGUAAACACCUGACAUGUUGUUAUAGAGUGAAUGUUUGUGUUCCCCUCCAAUCCAUAUGUUGAAAUUCCAAGCCCCAAUGUGUUCGCAUUGGGAGGUGAGGCCUUUGGGAGGUAAAUAGAUCAUGAAGGUGAAGUCUUCAUGAAUGGAUUAGUGUCCUUAUAAAAGAGACCCCAGAGAGCUCUCUCAUCCUGUUUCUGCCAUGUGAGGACACAGCAAGAAGUUGGUCAUCUGCAACCUGAAGUGGCUCCUCCCCAGAAACUGAAUCUGCUGGGGUCUUAAUGGUGGGCUUCCCAGCCUCCAGAAUUAUGAGUGUAAAUGUUUGUUGUUUAAGCUACCCAGUCUAGGGUAGUUUGCUAUACUACCCCAAACUGACUAAGAUACAUAUGUUUGUCAUCCACUCAGUUGUUUUCCUAAAAUAAAUGAAGUCAGCUCCAAAGAUGAAUUUUCAUCUCUUUUUGUAGAGAUGGGUGCUAUUAUGCUUUUUAAUGAACGUUUAUUCACAAAUAAAAACAAAACAUACCUCUCACAUCCUCAGAGCAAAUACUUACAGUAACAUACAUUGAUGCUCACAAGCUCAUUACAUUUCAUGUUUACUAUUCAUUGAUAACAUUACAUUUAUUAUUAUCACAUAAACCAUACCUCCUGUUUAUGAAGCACUUAUGGUGUUUUAGUCAAUGUUAUGGUACCUGCUAUAUAUGGUCUCUAAUUUUAUUUUAACUUCCUAUAGUAAACAAUAUUAGGUGCUAACUCAAUAGUCAUUUUCUAACCUGAUUUUUCCUUGCAAACAGAACCCCAAAUUUGUUUGGAGAGAAAUGUGUCCAAAUCCAAACAAAGCAUCACCAUUUCUUUGAACCAUCAUAAGGAUCUAAUCAUUUUUUUUGUUUUCCUAGCCUCCCUCUAGCCAGAGAUACUGGGUAACACAGUUCUGGCUGAGAAGACAAGAGAAGAAAUCUGCUAAGCAUUUCUGGAAAAAGUUUUGAUUUGCUGAUGAAAGGGAACAGACAUACUGGUUGCCUUCCUUUUCCCUUUCAGCUGCCUAGUCGCCAUUUUGCAAUGUGAAACAACAUCAUUAAGGAAAGAUCAAAACAAUUGCAGAGAUGUCAACCAUCAUGCCUUUGAAUUCAUGCUCACAGUUGUCUGCCUCCAGAUUCAGUUAUAUUUGAGGUACUCUUUGAGUUAAGAUCCUUCUCAUUUUAUACCACUUGCAGCUGAACACACUCCCCACUAAUUUACCUUGUAAGGUGAAUUUCACUUAAAGGAAGAACACAUAAGUCAGGGAAUGACACAUAAUAGUAAAUGCAGGGUUUUUUUUUCUAUUUAUGAUAUAGAUUUAUACAACUGCUAUGUUCUUGACAUUGUACCAAUUUCAAGGUACAAAUAAGACAUAAUCCCUAAAAGCAUGGGUUACAAAAUCUGGGUUCAGCAUAGGGUUUCAUGAUAAACAAACAAACACAAAUUGUUUUUUAUUGUAUUUCCUUCUUCUUCACAUCUUGUGAAUCUAAGAAAAAUAUCAGAAUGUUCGUUUCAGCUCAAUUUUUGAAGAGUACAAUCUCUAAGUAAAAAGAAACUGUAAAUGUUUAUAAAUGUAACUAGAGCCUAGUAGAAAAUAAAGCCAUGCAAGUGUGUUUAGGUCCUAAUCUUAUUAACCAGAUUAGUGACACACAGUCUGCCCAAAGUUAAUGAAAGCAGUGAGGUUCUUUGACUUCAGUAGAUACACACCUGAACCACAGAGAUAAACUUGCUUCAAACCUGUGCGAUAUGUUUUUCUAAGCAUAAAAUUGAGCAUGAUAGCUCCAAUUUCAGUCUCAGUUUCAAAGCUUCCCUUUCCCGAAUAAGAGGCAAACUGUCACAUUAAAUUUAGCGAAUUAAAAUCAGUUAACUUGAAAAGCUCUUGGCCCCAAUGCAGAGAAAAUUGUUUGCAUAAUAAUAACUUAUUUCCUUUUUUAAAAGGCGGACUUCUGCCUGAAUGCUUCUAUAAACUUUUAAGAAAAUGGGAUUCUCAAAUCUCAAGCGUAUUGGGUUGCAGUUGGCACUUGAAGCUGGGGACAUGCAGAGCUGGCUAAUGUCAGCAGCUGUAGGACUGUCAAGAAAAAUAGGUGGAAGGGACACUUUUAUUAUAAGUAGACUUGCAAGGCAUUCCAACUUUCAGCUGCUCAACCCAGUAUACCAAACACCUCUGACUACCUCAAGUGUGGCCUUGCUGAGUGCUUCCAUAUUUAGGGGUUAUUAGACAGGACUGAAGCAAGUGACCUCUAAUGAGGAAGCAAUCAGGGCAGGCUCUGACCCUCCUCAGAGGUACUGUAAUGAACUGGCCUUGGAAGGUCUUUGAUGCUGCCUUUGCAUACUGUAUAUGAGCUUUCUGCUCAGUCAUUUCCUCUGCGCUCUGGUAGCACAGCAUGAAGCCUGCUAUUAGAAAAAAGGUUUAUUGCUACCUUGCAAACAUUUAUUGGGUAAUAUCUAAAACAUGGUGUCAAGUUAUAGUAAUGCGCUGUUCUGGGAAACUUUUUGAGAAUUUUAGUGUUUCAGAAGAUGGUCCUUUGAGAAUUCUUCUGUUUCAGAAAUGAAAAGUGGUAGAUAUAUACGUGUGUGUGUAUAAUAUGCUCAUGUAUCCUCUGAUUACUUGCCAGAGAUGUACCAUUUUUCUUUCAAGGGAAACAUCUAUUCCUAAGAUAGAUUAUUCUUGAAAUUUUCAAAGAGUAUGCCUCAGAGAACAAAUAUACAAAUUUACCAUUUGUCUGCAGAUAUUAUUUGCCUGUGUUUAUGCUAGGUCACUGACACCACACACAUUUUAAUCCCCAAGGGAAUUUAUUUGGUGGUGUUAUCUACUCAACCAAGCUGAAGCUUAUCUAGUUCACAAGAAAAUAGUCAAUAUGAGCUCCAUGCAGACUUAUGCUGUUAAUGCAGAAGAGGGAAAGAGAAUUUACCUUUAACUGUUAUGAUGAAAAUGUGUACAAUGACACUUAACUAUGGCAUGCAAAUCCUCUUUUCCUCCCCCACAGGUAUCUGGAAAGUACCUUAUACAGCUAGGUGCUUAGAAAAUGUUUAUUGAUUAAAUAGAUGAUGAUUAACAGAUUAAUAAAAGGUGAAAGUUACUAUCUAUGCAUUUUUUUCCAGUUUGAUGUUCAAAAACUUACCAAUGGAUGGGGAGUUGCUUUUCAUAAACAAUUUAUAAAGCACUGUCCUGGAUGAAAUUGUAAAAAGGACGUGGUGUCAAAGAUGACUCAGUGGAGUUGAGGUGAAAAAUGUGUAAUGAGCAAAUCAUGGUAAUUGGGAUAUCCAUCACCUCAAACCCUUAUCAUGUCUUUGUGUUGAGGACAUUUCAAAUCUUCCCUUCCAGCUAUUUUGAAAUAUACAACAAAUUAUUGUUAAGUGUAGCCACCCUAGUGUGCUACUGUACACUAGGACUUACUUAUUCCUUCUAUCUAACUGUAUUUUUGAACCCAUGAACCAACAUCUCUUUGAUUUCCAGCCUGGGCUUUGGUGUCCCUUUUUUUGUGUGUUUUCAUAGGGCCCUAUAUUUAUAUUAUUUGGGCUCAACACAUUGCAAAACUGCAGAGGAGUUUACUAUUAUGCACAUUAUUAUUCUAUAUUCUGUCACUCUAAGAAACAAUAAGUGACCAUCUGAAGAGACCAUCUUCUAGCACCAAAAUAUUUAAAGAUGAUUAAGAAUAAGACAAGGGUCUCCUUAUUUACAAAAUGACAUAAUUGAAAGGACUAGAUUAUUAGCAACCCCUCUGGAAAAGGAUUACUCUUUUGGAUUUUAAUUACAUAACUAAUAUAUCAACUGAAGUGCUAUGCCCUGACGUGUGCUCCCCUCAGCUUCACGAUCCAUAUGUUGAAACCCAACCCCUUAAUGUGAUGGCAUUUGGAGAUGGGGCUUUGGAGAUAUUAGUUAGGUUUAGAUAAGGUCAUGAGAAUGGGGCUCUUAUGAUGAGAUGAGCACCUUCAUAAAAAGAGACACGAGGUAUUUCUCUUUUCUCUCUUCUCUCUCUCCCUCUUUCCCUCCCUCCCUCUCUCCUCCUUCUCUGUCUUCCUCCUUUAUGUGAGGACAUAGCCAGAAGGCAGCUGUGUCUGCAAGCCAGGAAGAAAGCCCUCACCAGGAAUCAACUAUAUCAGCACCUUGAUCUUGAACUUCUAUCCUUAGAACAGAGAGAAAAUGAAUUUCUAUUCUUGAAGCCACCCAGCCUACGGUAUUUUGUUAUGGCAGUCAAGCUGAAUAAGAUAUAUAUCUACACUGAGACCAUUAAAAGUAGUUCCUGAUUGGCAGAAAGGUUGUAUAUAUAAAUGGCUCAUUGAAAGUUCUCACUGCAUGGAUGAGAAAUCUCAGAUUGAGGUUCUUAAAUUUUGAAAAAUAGAAAUAAAGGAAUUAACGCAACAGUCUUCUAAUCUUUCUGCCUUCAGUUUUUGCUCCCUUUGACUAUUCUCUGUACACUGCAUCCAGAGGUUAUAUUUUGACAGGGAAAUUCAAAUGAUGUAUAUUAUUUUUCUACUCAAAAUCUCCCCACUGGCACCCUAUUGUCCUAAAGCAUAAACUGCUAUUGCAGUCAAUUCACCUGAAAUAAGCUCUCUUCCUGCCGCGUCUUUUACAUAGAUUGUUUACUCCUCUUGUGAUCCCAGUUCCCUGCUUCUCCCUCUCCUCCACACUUUUCAAUAAUUAAAUUAUACUCAGCGUUCAGAAUUCAGUCAGGAUAUCCUACCUUCUUUGGUCAGCCCCCCAGGGUUUUCUGAAAGCUGGGAAGAGGCCCUCUUCUGCAAUCCCCAUGCACUGUAGACACAUCCCCUUUAGGUCCCUAUGUUGUGAGUGACUGUUUUCUUGUCUGUCUCUGCCACUAUAUUAUGCACUCUUAGAAGGCAAGGACUACUUCUCUUCAUUGUAUACCUAGAACUUAACCCAAAAACUGGCAUGUGCAUGCACCCAAGUUUUCACUGAGAAAAUAAUUGCAUGAGUCACUUGCUUUCCAGGUCUUUCUGACUACUAUGAUGGUGAUGACUUGUAGUCACAACAUGAAAUUGGUUUCUGCCCCUGAGGAUUGUAUCUCUCUACUUUGCAUGACCCCUAGAUUUCAAUCCCUCUUUAUUCUCUCCUGAUCCUUGGGUUCCAGUAAUUCUCUGGGUUUCAAAUAUAAGCACAGUGUGAGGAGCUCUUCAUUCUUGACAGAACUUUCAGGCAAGAAAGAAAUAGAUUCCUGGGAAUAUCUAUAUUCCCUCUGGCCCUAUUCCUUACUCCCAAAACAUAAUAACCCUUUUCUUAGGUUUUUUCUCUCUACCUUUUUACUUCUUCCUUAUUCUCACGAUUACAUGAAUUAACUGCCUACAGAGUAUGAAUUCAGACUGAAUUAAUAUGUAUUUAUGUGACAUAAAAGAUCUCUUUCAGUACUUCUUAAUCUUACCAAAUGAUGCAUACUAUACAAUAAAAAAUUGCAAUUUUUUCAUUAGCUUUUUUUUUUUUUUUUGGUUUCUGGUAGGGUUUUCCUUUAGUGGUAUUUUAGCAAGUAAUACAAUCCAGUUAUUUUUAAAAGUAUAUUAGUAGAAACUCACCAGAAGUCAAUAUACUGGUCCAAGAAUAAUUAACUGAUUGACUUUAUUGUUUAUGAAACUUUGUAAUGUUCCUUUUGAUGUGAAUGCUUAUCUUAGGGGGAAAUGCACUUUUCAAAUAUAAAUGAUCAUGUUUAAACAAACUGCUUCUAGUUUCAAAUAUGGCACUGAAAAACAAAAUAAAAUAAACACUCAAUUUUUAUUUAAAAUGGUGGGCAAUUUACUUUCUUUUUUGUUUGGGAUCUGAUUCAAGAGCCUCAAUUCAGCUUAUUGCAGAACUAACUAAACUAAACCUCAAAGGAAAAAUUUUAAAAAUGAUUUUUAUAGCAAUGACAUCAUUAUAUAAAAUGUUGGCAUUUCAUAUUUUCCAAACAGAAACUUGGAAAUAACAGAAUACAAGUUAAAUAAAACAAAUUGAAACUAAUCCAAUUCUCUGUUUUUCUUUCCCUUUUUAAAAACCAAGCUUUUUAUUGCCAGCUUUUACUUUGCAUAAUAAUAUAUGAUGAAUUGUCCAAGAAAGACCCAGUGGGUACAUUUCUCUUAGAAAUAAGCCUCUCUAUGCAAUAGGAGGCCAAGUUCUAGGGCAACAUACUUAUAUAAUCAUGUAAGAUUUUCCUUAUUGCUAACAAUUGACCAACCUGGGCAUUUGUCAAAUAUGUAAACACAUGGAGGUCACUGGUCACCAGAGGAUUGAAAACACAAAUCACUCUAUUCAUAUCCAUCCCUAGUUCUAGAAAAACAAUACCAAAUUAAAGCAUAUAUCCUACUAGCAAUAGGACUAGCAAAAUUAUUUUGGUAUACCAGAGCUACAUGUUAUACAUUUUGCUACUUAUGGAUUUAAUUACUCAGGAUAAUUAUACACAUGGCUACAACUGUAAACUUUAUAAUAUUUUGCUGGCAUACCUUCCAAAAGAGUUUGAAAAGCUAUGAAUUUAAUUCUAUAUUUGCAUUUGACAUAUAAAGUAC
rnacentral:lncRNA from 1 species